rnacentral:lncRNA from 1 species
GGGCCAGCUAUUAUGUCGUAGUUGUUUGAAUUUGAAAAAAGGUAUAGAAUUUUUAGAUUAAGUCGGAUCCGACAAGAAGACCUUGGAUCGAUCGAUGCAUAGCUAGCAGAAGUGUCUCUCUGGCGCUAGUAACUAGGAUCCACAGUUGAAGUCGAGAUUGAUGACCAAAGUUAAGAGGUUGAUAGUACCACCCAAGGUGGUUCGAUCGGAAGGUGGGAUUGGC